GGAAGAGAAGAGGGAGGACUCGCGGCUGACUGGCCACCGCCACUGCCGCUGCUGCCGCUGCCGCCACCGGCGAGCGACGUCGGCGGCUGAUCCCUCCUCGGCUGACGCGGACGCCCUUCUCCUUCCUCCGCUCCGGCGAACUCCGACGAGGUCUACGACGCCGCCUCCGCCUUCUACU